rnacentral:rRNA from 1 species
UACGAAUGGGGCAAGCGUUGUUCGGAAUCACUGGGCUUAAAGCGUGCGCAGGCGGCCAAGCAAGUCAGAAGUGAAAUCCCCGGGCUCAACCCGGGAAUUGCUUUGAAACUGCAUGGCUAGAAUCCCGGAGAGGUUAGCAGAAUUCCGAGUGUAGAGGUGAAAUUCGCAGAUAUUCGGAGGAAUACCAGUGGCGCAAGCGGCUAACUGGACGGGCAUUGACGCUCAGGCACGAAAGCGUGGGGAGCAAACAGG